GACUCCACGCUGUGGACGUGGCAACGUAGGUUCGAAUCCUGCUUUGGACAUUUUUAAUAAUGGGGUAGUUAA